rnacentral:lncRNA from 1 species
UUAAGAGAUAAAUCUAAUUAGAGUUAUUAGAGAAAUAAAAUAACAUGAUUAGGAUUAUUUUUGGAAUUGAAAAAUCAAGAUCAAGAAAUUAGGCAACUCUCAUAUAGUUUAAGGAUCGAGGAUUUAAGGAUAUAUAUCUUGACAAAUACAAUCCUUUAAUUGAUGUGCACUUCUGUUUUCUUUUCAUAAAGACGUAAAAAGUUAAUCAAGAAGGGCAUACUUAUUAGACAUUGGAGUACUAAUAGACAUAUGAAGCAUAGAAACUCCAAAAGCUGGUCUUCUUCUCUCCUUUCUAGAAUUGGAU